rnacentral:ncRNA from 1 species
GUCAACCGUGACCCCUCACUAAAGUAAAGGGCUUGAAGUGCUUACUUCAAGUCUGGUUGUCUAGACUCAGUGUCUUCUAGACACUACGUUAUCUUGGUGAUCACACCUGGGGAUGAUACCCUAGUUCCCAGCUCUGUGCGGGCACUGUAAACAGUCCUAAGGUCAAUG